rnacentral:pre_miRNA from 9 species
GCCAAUAUGUUGCCUUUAUCUGCAUUUGCACCUGCACCUUAAGUUUCUUUGUUUCUUCUUCUUCUUUUUUCUUUUUUAAGAAGUCUACUUCUUCUAAAUUAUGGGUUUUCAAUAUAUAGAGGAUUGAAACAAGCAAAUAUAGGUGCAGGUGUGAGUGCAGGUGAAUGCCAUUUUGGU